rnacentral:rRNA from 1 species
UACGAAGGGGGCUAGCGUUGCUCGGAAUUACUGGGCGUAAAGGGCGCGUAGGCGGCUUUGCAAGUCGGGUGUGAAAUCCCCAGGCUUAACCUGGGAACUGCAUUCGAGACUGCAUUGCUAGAGUAUGGGAGAGGGAAGUGGAAUUUCCGGUGUAGCGGUGAAAUGCGUAGACAUCCGGAAGAACACCGAUGGCGAAGGCAACCACCUGGGCCUGUACUGACGCUGAGGUACGAAAGCGUGGGGAGCAAACAGG